CUGGAAUGAUGUUAACCAUCCCGCAGUGCAUUCCAUGGUGCAUCCUCGCCUAGAAUUGAGUGGAAGCAAGUCCAUCUCAGAAGGGACAUACCUGAAGAGAAAUGGCUUUCCAGACUCUGAAGGGCAGAGAAAGCACCAGCCUGGGUUAGAGAAAGAGAACAGCAUCUCUGAGCCCGUCCUGGGUGACCUCACAGAGAUCACCGUAG